AUUGAACGCUGGCGGCAUGCCUUACACAUGCAAGUCGAACGGCAGCGGGGGAGAAGCUUGCUUUUCCUGCCGGCGGGUGGCGAACGGGUGAGUAAUACAUCGGAACGUGCCCUGUAGUGGGGGAUAACUAGUCGAAAGAUUAGCUAAUACCGCAUACGACCUGAGGGUGAAAGGGGGGGACCGCAAGGCCUCAUGCUAUAGGAGCGGCCGAUGUCGGAUUAGCUAGUUGGUGGGGUAAAGGCCUACCAAGGCGACGAUCAGUAGCUGGUCUGAGAGGACGGUCAGCCACACUGGGACUGAGACACGGCCCAGACUCCUACGGGAGGCAGCAGUGGGGAAUUUUGGACAAUGGGCGAAAGCCUGAUCCAGCAAUGCCGCGUGUGUGAAGAAGGCCUUCGGGUUGUAAAGCACUUUUGUCCGGAAAGAAAUGGCUCUGGUUAAUACCUGGGGUCGAUGACGGUACCGGAAGAAUAAGGACCGGCUAACUACGUGCCAGCAGCCGCAGUAA
rnacentral:rRNA from 1 species